rnacentral:lncRNA from 9 species
ACAGGAAAAAAGAAAAUCCAGUAUCAGGAUAAUCAGAACACCACAGGUUUACAGUUUGUAGAAACUAGAACACGAGCAGCUCUCACUUAAGGUCUGUGAUGGAACUCCAGUGGAGAAAUGGCUGGUACUUUUUCCACCCCUUAAUCAGAUUUUUUUUUUAAUUAAAGUAUGUAACCGGUUAUUUUUACUUGAAGUAUUUUGGGGUGGUCUUAACAGGGAAGAGGGUGGGGGAGAAAAUGUUUUUUUCUAAGACUUUCCACAGAUGCUAUAGUACUAUUGACAAACUGAGUUAGAGAAGGAUUGUACUGCUAUGCUGUUGGCACCAAACACCUUCAGGGAUUGGAGCUGCUUUUUUCCUUGGAGUAUUCCCAGUGAAGCUGAAAUAUACAGCACAGUGCAGCUUUGGUUCAUAUUCAGUCAUCUCAGGAGAACUUCAGAAGAGCUUGACUAGGCCAAAUAUUGAAGUUAAGUUUUCAAAUAAUGGAACUUUUUAAGAUGCCUUUUAAAGGGGAGGGGCAAGUUUUGGCAAUUAGUUGGCAGUGGCCUGUUUUGGUUGGGGUUGGGUGGGUUGGGUUUAGGUAAUUGUUUAGUUUAUGAUUUCAGAUAACUCAUGCCAGAGAACUUAAAUACUUAGGAUGGAAAAACUAAAGAAAUCUCACCUCCCAAGUUGGCAAGUAACUCCUGAUCCUCUAGUUUCUUGUUUUACCCCAAUUUUUGAACUGGACAGCUGGGAACUUCAAAGAUUCACUGGAUUUAAAGUGUAGGGCUUGGGAAAGGAAAGUGUUGGAUUGGGGGUUGGUCUAGCCCACUGGGUUGACCAAGAUAAAAACUUGGGGAAUUGUUUAAACACUAAAGUUGUUUGGAUAUGGUAGUGUGUGGUUCUCUUUUGGAAUUUUUUUCAGGUGAUUUAAUAAAACUUAAUACUACUAUAGGAGCUUCAGAGCAAAGGAAGUGGCUUAAUGAUCCUGAAGGGAUUUCUUCUGAUGGUAGCUUUUAUAUUAUCAAGUUUCUCAUUAUCAGAAGAGUUGCUUCAUAUCAUCUGGGAGCAGAAAACAGCAGGCAGCUGUUCACAGAUAAGUUUAACUUGCAUCUGCAGUAUUGCAUGUUAGGGAUAAGUGCUAUGUUUAAUAAGAGCUGUGGAGGUCCUAGGUCCCUUACUCAAGGGAUCUCAGGAUUUUGAGGAAUUUUCCCAUCCAGCCUUUUAAAAUGAGACAGGCCUUAUGCCUGUGGGCUUCCAUGAUGGGCUAACUCACUUCACUCGAGGCAAGUAAUUCCUUAAAGCCUCUUGAGAUUAAUACCUUAAUAAUCAAGGAUAAUGUUGAUAAAAUAAAAAUUUGUUUAGCAUUGAUUCUUGAAAACCCUAUGAAAAGAUAGCAUAAUGUGCUGUUAACCAGAAUCAGAUAUGUUAACCUUGCUAAAAUUUAAAUGUUAUGUGUAUUGUGCAGAAAACCGUAAAAUCACUCAAAAUAAAAUACUUUAUUUAGCGAAUGUAUGCUUUUAGAAAGCUGUCUCCUUAUUUAAAUAAAAUAUUGUUUGUCUGUAGUUAGUGUUGGGCAAUCUUGGGGGGAUUCUUCUCAUCUUUCAGAGACUUUGUCUGCGAACACUCUGUAAUGGACAAGAUCAGGAAUUGAGCUGAAGAACGAAUUUAACUUAAGGCAGGAAAGACAAAUUUUAUCCUUCGUAAAAUUGAUGACCAUUUAAUAAUUCCAGGCACAUGGCCAUAGAGACCCUCUAAAUAAAUAAGGAAUAAAUACUUAUUAGGCAGGUGGGAGAUUAUGAUCAGAAGAACAGGUAACUACACCUACGCAUUUUUCAGAAAGUCAGGAGUCGAAAUUGACAGUACUGAAGUAUAAUGCGGUCCACAUUUCCAAAGUUUGCAUGUUAAAUUGAAAUGCUUACCAUCUCAUCUAGUGUUAGCCAAUGCUUUACACUUAUUAGCCUUUUAUAUAGACACUUGGUGGGGGGCAUGUGGGUUUUUUAAAGAACUUUCCUUUGCAGAGGCUUCGUUUCAUCCUUCAUGAGGCUGUUCAGGAUUUUGACUUGCAUAUAAACGCUUGGCUCUGCCUUCUGUUCUCCUAGUGGGUGUGUGAGACCUUGCAGUGAGUUUUCAGCAUACUCAAG